UUUUUCCCACUCAUUUUCCCCCGAUUACAUUUUUUUAUUCCUAUCUCUUAUUUGUGACAUUGUCUUUACCAUUUAAUUUUUUCCCACUCAUUUUCCCCCGAUUACGACCGUUGUAAAAGUGCCCCAUGAAUGUUUUUCUUAAAUGUGAUACUUGUUAUAUUUUUGCUUGAUUUCUUUGAUUUUUUUUCAUGGCUAAGCAUCAAACUUUGAUCUAUGGAUUCGACACUUCUCAUGUCAUUAUUCCAUGAUUAUUUUAUCGAUAUAUC
rnacentral:lncRNA from 1 species